GACGAACGCUGGCGGCGUGCUUAACACAUGCCAGUCGAACGGAAAGGCCUGCUUUCCCUUGUGGAUUGCGGGUACUCGAGUGGCGAACGGGUGAGUAACACGCGAGUGAUCUGCCCCCAACUUGGGUAUAAGCCUGGGAAACUGGGUCUAAUUCCCGAUAGGACUGCAGGGUGGUGCCUGUGGUGGAAAACGAUUUUCUAGUGGUUGGGGAUGAGCUCGCGGCCUAUCAGCUUGUUGGUGGGGUAAUGGCCUACCAAGGCGGCGACGGGUAGCCGGCCUGGGAGGGUGGACGGCCACAUUGGGACUGAGAUACGGCCCAGACUCCUACGGGAGGCAGCAGUGGGGAAUAUUGCACAAUGGGCGGAAGCCUGAUGCAGCGACGCCGCGUGGGGGAUGACGGCCUUCGGGUUGUAAACUCCUUUCGACCGCGAGGAAGCCACCUGGUUGGAAGGGUGGUGACGGUAGUGGUAGAAGAAGCACCGGCUAACUACGUG
rnacentral:rRNA from 1 species